UCGCGGUUGUUUGUAGCAAGUAGUUGAGAGUGGUAAUUUAUCUUUGAUUUUUCACUUCCGUGUUCUAUAAGUUUAUCAGGAUAUCUUUGUUGUUUUUUUUUAGCUCACCUGAACCGAAGGUUCAAGUGAGCUAUUCUGAUCACAUUUUGUCAGGCGUCCGUCUGUCUGUCCGUCCGUGUUUACGAGAGUGCAUAUAUUGGGUUCUUUUUAUACUCAGAAGGUACUUAUUGGGUACUUUUUGCUUAUUGGGUAUACCCAAUAGGAAGUGUUGCUAAAUGUACUUAAAAUGCCUUAAUUGGGUAUAUGCCGGCAAGUACCCAACACGACUUGGACACGACGACUUGUCCAAAAAAGUGUCUGAAAAAGUUGUUACUACGGACUGGCCGUAUUUCGCUUGUCAGCUACACUCUCGGAACUUUAAAUAUAAAACUAGUAACUCCCGAGAGUUCCGAAAAGCAACUUCCGUUAGUCUUGAUCUCUAAGGCGUUUUGUUUUCAUCAAAUAUGGCGACGAUGAAGAAGCGUUUGAGGUCGACACGAUCAGAAGAAUUUCAGGUGUGAACAUAAACAGAAAAUAUGCUAGAAGAUGUUCCAUCGGAAUUGGACAGUUUGGUAGAGGAAGCAGACCUACAGAAAGAGGAAGAAGAAGAGACAUCACUUCGAAGGAAAAAACAUCUUCAUCUUGUAAGUGCAAUUUUAUUUCAAGAUCACUGCUUUAAAUCUUCUCAGAUCACAGUCAUUUGUAUUCUAUUUGACUAACUUUUCUGAUUUUCAUCUUCUCUUUAGGUUGGUCAAUUUCAAUCAAACUUUGUGCAAAGCAUCCUUUAAUAAAAGGGGAGGGGUCAAGUUUGUCUCUGUCCAUGUAAUAUAAUUAGAAAGUGAUGAUAUAUGUUUGGGUUAUUUAACGAUCUUCUCUAGUAGAACCAUUAGGGCAUAAAAACAAUAUUUAUAUUGAAGCUUUAUCAUGUAGUGUAGAGAUGUUGAAUAUUGUGCUGCAUUGUACUGAUGGAUUUACAAAUUGUACUUUAGAGAUCCAAA